rnacentral:rRNA from 1 species
GAUGAACGCUGGCGGCGUGCCUAAUACAUGCAAGUCGAGCGAACAGACGAGGAGCUUGCUCCUCUGACGUUAGCGGCGGACGGGUGAGUAACACGUGGAUAACCUACCUAUAAGACUGGGAUAACUUCGGGAAACCGGAGCUAAUACCGGAGAAUAUAUUGAACCGCAUGGUUCAAUAGUGAAAGACGGUUUUGCUGUCACUUAUAGAUGGAUCCGCGCCGCAUUAGCUAGUUGGUAAGGUAACGGCUUACCAAGGCAACGAUGCGUAGCCGACCUGAGAGGGUGUUCGGCCACACUGGAGCUGAGACACGGUCCAGACUCCUACGGGAGGCAGCAGUAGGGAAUCUUCCGCAAUGGGCGAAAGCCUGACGGAGCAACGCCGCGUGAGUGAUGAAGGUCUUCGGAUCGUAAAACUCUGUUAUUAGGGAAGAACAAAUGUGUAAGUAACUAUGCACGUCUUGACGGUACCUAAUCAGAAAGCCACGGCUAACUACGUG